GACGUAGGAUGCAAGCGUUGUCCGGAUUAUUGGGCGUAAAGAGUUCGUAGGUGGUUCGUUAAGUCUGAUGUUAAAGACUGGGGCUCAACCCUGGAAGUGCAUUGGAUACUGGCGGACUUGAGUGUGGUAGAGGCAAUCGGAAUUCCAGGUGUAGCGGUGAAAUGCGUAGAUAUCUGGAAGAACACCGGUGGCGCAAGCGGAUUGCUGGGCCAUAACUGACACUGAGGAACGAAAGCUAGGGGAGCGAAUGGG
rnacentral:rRNA from 1 species